rnacentral:snRNA from 1 species
GUGCUCACUUUGGCAGCACAUAUACUAAAACUGGAACAGUACAGAGAAGAUUAGCACAGCCCCUGCCCAAGGAUGAUGUGCAAAUCCAUGAAGCUUUACAUAUUUUU